rnacentral:rRNA from 1 species
AGUGGCGGGCGGGUGAGUAAUGCGUGGGCAACCUGGCCUGUACAGGGGGAUAACACUUAGAAAUAGGUGCUAAUACCGCAUAACGGGAGAAGCCGCAUGGCUUUUUCCUGAAAACUCCGGUGGUACAGGAUGGGCCCGCGUCUGAUUAGCCAGUUGGCAGGGUAACGGCCUACCAAAGCGACGAUCAGUAGCCGGCCUGAGAGGGCGGACGGCCACACUGGGACUGAGACACGGCCCAGACUCCUACGGGAGGCAGCAG